AACGAACGCUGGCGGCAUGCCUAACACAUGCAAGUCGAACGAGACCUUCGGGUCUAGUGGCGCACGGGUGCGUAACGCGUGGGAACCUUCCCUUAGGUUCGGAAUAACUCCCCGAAAGGGGUGCUAAUACCGGAUAAUUUCUUCGGACCAAAGAUUUAUCGCCUUUGGAUGGGCCCGCGUUGGUUUAGGUAGUUGGUAGGGUAAAAGCCUACCAAGGCGACGUUCCAUAGAUGGUCUGAGAGGAGGAUCAGCCACACUGGGACUGAGACACGGCCCAGACUCCUACGGGAGGCAGCAGUGGGGAAUAUUGGACAAUGGGCGAAAGCCUGAUCCAGCAAUGCCGCGUGAGUGAUGAAGGCCUUAGGGUUGUAAAGCUCUUUUACCCGGGAUGAUAAUGACAGUACCGGGAGAAUAAGCUCCGGCUAACUCCGUG
rnacentral:rRNA from 1 species